UACGAAGGGGGCUAGCGUUGCUCGGAAUCACUGGGCGUAAAGCGCACGUAGGCGGAUUCUUAAGUCAGGGGUGAAAUCCUGGAGCUCAACUCCGGAACUGCCUUUGAUACUGGGAGUCUCGAGUCCGGGAGAGGUGAGUGGAACUGCGAGUGUAGAGGUGAAAUUCGUAGAUAUUCGCAAGAACACCAGUGGCGAAGGCGGCUCACUGGCCCGGUACUGACGCUGAGGUGCGAAAGCGUGGGGAGCAAACAGGG
rnacentral:rRNA from 1 species